GUGCCAGCAGCCGCGGUAAUACGGAGGGUGCGAGCGUUAAUCGGAAUUACUGGGCGUAAAGCGCAUGCAGGUGGUUUGUUAAGUCAGAUGUGAAAGCCCGGGGCUCAACCUCGGAAUUGCAUUUGAAACUGGCAGACUAGAGUACUGUAGAGGGGGGUAGAAUUUCAGGUGUAGCGGUGAAAUGCGUAGAGAUCUGAAGGAAUACCGGUGGCGAAGGCGGCCCCCUGGACAGAUACUGACACUCAGAUGCGAAAGCGUGGGGAGCAAACAGGAUUAGAUACCCUGGUAGUCCACGCCGUAAACGAUGUCUACUUGGAGGUUGUGGCCUUGAGCCGUGGCUUUCGGAGCUAACGCGUUAAGUAGACCGCCUGGGGAGUACGGUCGCAAGAUUAAAACUCAAAUGAAUUGACGGGGGCCCGCACAAGCGGUGGAGCAUGUGGUUUAAUUCGAUGCAACGCGAAGAACCUUACCUACUCUUGACAUCCAGAGAACUUUCCAGAGAUGGAUUGGUGCCUUCGGGAACUCUGAGACAGGUGCUGCAUGGCUGUCGUCAGCUCGUGUUGUGAAAUGUUGGGUUAAGUCCCGCAACGAGCGCAACCCU
rnacentral:rRNA from 1 species